rnacentral:rRNA from 1 species
UAAUUUUUGUGAAGUUAAACCUUUGGUAAACACUUUUUAUUCUCUAGGGUAAAAUCAGGAGAACUAAGUAUUUUAUGUUUAAUUUGUAAUAUUCAAUAAACGAACCAGAUUAGUACCUGGUUAGAUGAAAUUAAAGAAGGCAGAAGUAAAGUAAUAUUUAAACUGUAAGGAUAUUGGCAGGCUUUAUAAAUUAUCUUUGGAGGUUGAGGUAUAAGUGAGAACCCUCAUUAUCUACUCCUACUUUAGGCGCAUGUAUGAUCGUUUAUUUUAUUCUUAAGGAUUGUAAACAAAAGUUUUUAUUUAUGAAAACAGAUAAAUACCUGGUUUAUGUAGGAGCUGAACUUGACCUACAAUAAAGAAGGUUUUGAAUCUUGAACCGAGAGGUUUAAGUGAAAUUGUAAAAGACAGUAAACUGUUCUUAAUGUACGGUUGAAGUUUAUUUAGGAGCGGUACAAAUCAUC